rnacentral:pre_miRNA from 1 species
GCAUGUGGGCCUGACCCAGACCCCACUGAAGUCAAUGGGCGUCUUUCCAUUGACUCCAGUGGACUAUGGGUCAGGCCUUAAGGC